rnacentral:rRNA from 1 species
AUGAACGCUAGCUACAGGCUUAACACAUGCAAGUCGAGGGGCAUCAGGAAGAAAGCUUGCUUUCUUUGCUGGCGACCGGCGCACGGGUGAGUAACACGUAUCCAACCUGCCCUUUACUCGGGGAUAGCCUUUCGAAAGAAAGAUUAAUACCCGAUGGCAUAAUGAUUCCGCAUGGUUUCAUUAUUAAAGGAUUCCGGUAAAGGAUGGGGAUGCGUUCCAUUAGGUUGUUGGUGAGGUAACGGCUCACCAAGCCUUCGAUGGAUAGGGGUUCUGAGAGGAAGGUCCCCCACAUUGGAACUGAGACACGGUCCAAACUCCUACGGGAGGCAGCAGUGAGGAAUAUUGGUCAAUGGGCGGUAGCCUGAACCAGCCAAGUAGCGUGAAGGAUGAAGGCUCUAUGGGUCGUAAACUUCUUUUAUAUAAGAAUAAAGUGCAGUAUGUAUACUGUUUUGUAUGUAUUAUAUGAAUAAGGAUCGGCUAACUCCGUGCCAGCAGCCGCGGUAAUACGGAGGAUCCGAGCGUUAUCCGGAUUUAUUGGGUUUAAAGGGAGCGUAGGUGGACUGGUAAGUCAGUUGUGAAAGUUUGCGGCUCAACCGUAAAAUUGCAGUUGAUACUGUCAGUCUUGAGUACAGUAGAGGUGGGCGGAAUUCGUGGUGUAGCGGUGAAAUGCUUAGAUAUCACGAAGAACUCCGAUUGCGAAGGCAGCUCACUGGACUGCAACUGACACUGAUGCUCGAAAGUGUGGGUAUCAAACAGGAUUAGAUACCCUGGUAGUCCACACAGUAAACGAUGAAUACUCGCUGUUUGCGAUAUACAGUAAGCGGCCAAGCGAAAGCAUUAAGUAUUCCACCUGGGGAGUACGCCGGCAACGGUGAAACUCAAAGGAAUUGACGGGGGCCCGCACAAGCGGAGGAACAUGUGGUUUAAUUCGAUGAUACGCGAGGAACCUUACCCGGGCUUAAAUUGCAGUGGAAUGAUGUGGAAACAUGUCAGUGAGCAAUCACCGCUGUGAAGGUGCUGCAUGGUUGUCGUCAGCUCGUGCCGUGAGGUGUCGGCUUAAGUGCCAUAACGAGCGCAACCCUUAUCUUCAGUUACUAACAGGUUAUGCUGAGGACUCUGGAGAGACUGCCGUCGUAAGAUGUGAGGAAGGUGGGGAUGACGUCAAAUCAGCACGGCCCUUACGUCCGGGGCUACACACGUGUUACAAUGGGGGGUACAGAAGGCAGCUAGCGGGUGACCGUAUGCUAAUCCCAAAAUCCUCUCUCAGUUCGGAUCGAAGUCUGCAACCCGACUUCGUGAAGCUGGAUUCGCUAGUAAUCGCGCAUCAGCCACGGCGCGGUGAAUACGUUCCCGGGCCUUGUACACACCGCCCGUCAAGCCAUGGGAGCCGGGGGUACCUGAAGUACGUAACCGCAAGGAUCGUCCUAGGGUAAAACUGGUGACUGGGGCU